CCGGCGAUGUCCGAAUGGGGAAACCCAGUGCAAUUCGUUGCACUAUCGUUAACUGAAUACAUAGGUUAACGAGGCGAACCGGGGGAACUGAAACAUCUAAGUACCCCGAGGAAAAGAAAUCAACCGAGAUUCCCCCAGUAGCGGCGAGCGAACGGGGAGCAGCCCAGAGUCUGAAUCAGCUUGUGUGUUAGUGGAACGGUCUGGAAAGUCCGACGGUACAGGGUGAUAGUCCCGUACACCAAAAUGCACAGGUUGUGAACUCGAAGAGUAGGGCGGGACACGUGGUAUCCUGUCUGAAUAUGGGGGGACCAUCCUCCAAGGCUAAAUACUCCUGACUGACCGAUAGUGAACCAGUACCGUGAGGGAAAGGCGAAAAGAACCCCGGCGAGGGGAGUGAAAAAGAACCUGAAACCGUGUACGUACAAGCAGUGGGAGCACCUUUAUGGUGUGACUGCGUACCUUUUGUAUAAUGGGUCAGCGACUUAUAUUCUGUAGCAAGGUUAACCGUAUAGGGGAGCCGCAGGGAAACCGAGUCUUAACUGGGCGUUAAGUUGCAGGGUAUAGACCCGAAACCCGGUGAUCUAGCCAUGGGCAGGUUGAAGGUUGGGUAACACUAACUGGAGGACCGAACCGACUAAUGUUGAAAAAUUAGCGGAUGACUUGUGGCUGGGGGUGAAAGGCCAAUCAAACCGGGAGAUAGCUGGUUCUCCCCGAAAGCUAUUUAGGUAGCGCCUCGUGAACUCAUCUUCGGGGGUAGAGCACUGUUUCGGCUAGGGGGUCAUCCCGACUUACCAACCCGAUGCAAACUACGAAUACCGAAGAAUGUUAUCACGGGAGACACACGGCGGGUGCUAACGUCCGUCGUGAAGAGGGAAACAACCCAGACCGCCAGCUAAGGUCCCAAAGUCAUGGUUAAGUGGGAAACGAUGUGGGAAGGCACAGACAGCCAGGAUGUUGGCUUAGAAGCAGCCAUCAUUUAAAGAAAGCGUAAUAGCUCACUGGUCGAGUCGGCCUGCGCGGAAGAUGUAACGGGGCUAAACCAUGCACCGAAGCUGCGGCAGCGACACUAUGUGUUGUUGGGUAGGGGAGCGUUCUGUAAGCCUGCGAAGGUGGCCUGUGAGGGUUGCUGGAGGUAUCAGAAGUGCGAAUGCUGACAUAAGUAACGAUAAAGCGGGUGAAAAGCCCGCUCGCCGGAAGACCAAGGGUUCCUGUCCAACGUUAAUCGGGGCAGGGUGAGUCGACCCCUAAGGCGAGGCCGAAAGGCGUAGUCGAUGGGAAACAGGUUAAUAUUCCUGUACUUGGUGUUACUGCGAAGGGGGGACGGAGAAGGCUAUGUUAGCCGGGCGACGGUUGUCCCGGUUUAAGCAUGUAGGCGGAGGUUCCAGGUAAAUCCGGUACCUUUUAACGCUGAGGUGUGAUGACGAGGCACUACGGUGCUGAAGUAACAAAUGCCCUGCUUCCAGGAAAAGCCUCUAAGCAUCAGGUAACAUUAAAUCGUACCCCAAACCGACACAGGUGGUCAGGUAGAGAAUACCAAGGCGCUUGAGAGAACUCGGGUGAAGGAACUAGGCAAAAUGGUGCCGUAACUUCGGGAGAAGGCACGCUGGUGUGUAGGUGAAGUCCCUGCGGACGGAGCUGAGACCAGUCGAAGAUACCAGCUGGCUGCAACUGUUUAUUAAAAACACAGCACUGUGCAAACACGAAAGUGGACGUAUACGGUGUGACGCCUGCCCGGUGCCGGAAGGUUAAUUGAUGGGGUUAUCCGUAAGGAGAAGCUCUUGAUCGAAGCCCCGGUAAACGGCGGCCGUAACUAUAACGGUCCUAAGGUAGCGAAAUUCCUUGUCGGGUAAGUUCCGACCUGCACGAAUGGCGUAAUGAUGGCCAGGCUGUCUCCACCCGAGACUCAGUGAAAUUGAACUCGCUGUGAAGAUGCAGUGUACCCGCGGCAAGACGGAAAGACCCCGUGAACCUUUACUAUAGCUUGACACUGAACAUUGAGCCUUGAUGUGUAGGAUAGGUGGGAGGCUUUGAAGCGUGGACGCCAGUCUGCGUGGAGCCAACCUUGAAAUACCACCCUUUAAUGUUUGAUGUUCUAACGU
rnacentral:rRNA from 1 species